GCCCCGAGCAGGCCCGCGGUCCGUACCUUAUAGUAAACAUCGAACUGGAUGUUCUCGGGCAAGGAGCGGAUGUCUCGGCGGGAGCGGAUGUAGUUGUCCACGACAGCGGAGAUGGCGGUGUUGUAGAGAGUCUCUGGGAUCCACUCUAGUUCCACGGCCGCCAUCUUCCUUCCCUCCUCCUCCGCCUCCUCCGCCUCCUCCUCCCGAAGGCCCCCGCCUCCCUCCGUAGCGAACUCCUCUGCGGCCCCGGAGGAUUCGGAGGGGCGGCGGCAGCCACGCGGGCACGCGGCAGAAGGGCACGGCCGCCCUGGUUCCUAGUGGGCGAGCUGCGGCGAAGCGGCAGCAGACGCAGGCGCGGGUAGAGAGCGGAACAGAGAGCAGUAGACAGAAGGGCCGAAGCCUCACAUUCCGGGUUUGAGAGGAACCCGGGUUCCGUCCCAGCGCCGAUCUCUGCAGGGGUGGGACUGCGUGUGCGGCGUCAUGACGUCAGCGCACGCCGACGCGCUGGAGGGAAGGAAUGCGGCAGGCGGAAAACUUGGGAAGAAAGAGCAACGUCCUUCCCACACACAUCCUACUUUCUGAGGGGCCCGGGACUAGGGGGGAUGCGAGACUCUGCACAGAGAUAAACUGUUACAGGUUUUUAACCGUCCAUUCUGAAUCACUUGAGUCCUUCAGCAAAAUUCUGUAUCGGGAGUUCUUGGACACGGAUCUUUUUGAGCUUCAGCCACCAUGAGGUAAGCAGCUUUGCUCCACCAUGUGCUCCCUGCCACGUUGUUCUUCUUCACCAGAGGUCCAAAAUCAAUGGAACUAGCAUGGACUGGAACCUCUGAAACUUGUUUUCCCUGGGGGAAGCCCACCAUGUUGUGAAGACAGUCAAGCAGCCUUAUGGAGAGGACCAUGUGGAGAAGAACUGAAGCAUCAGCCAUGAUCAUUGCGGCUCCAUGAAAUUUUGAUUGCAUCCUCAUAAGAGAUCCUGAACCCAAACUGCCCAGAUAAGUGGCUCCUGACCCACAGAAACCCUGAGAGAUAGUAAAUAUUUGUUAUUGUUUU